rnacentral:rRNA from 1 species
AGACGACCUCAGUUCGGGCGAGAUCACCCGCCGAACUUAAGCAUAUUACUAAGCGGAGGAAAAGAAACUAACAAGGAUUCCCUCAGUAGCGGCGAGCGAACAGGGAGGAGCCCAGCGCCGAAUCCCACGGUCCGCGAGGGCCGAUCGGGAAAUGUGGCGUUAAGGAGGGUCCGCAAGUCCCGACGUCGCGAUAGCGGCGCGUCCAAGUCCUUCUUGAAAGAGGCCGAACCACCCGCAGAGGGUGCCAGGCCCGUAGGACCGUCGCCCGGCGUCGGGUCGGAUCUCUCCCUAGAGUCGGGUUGCUCGGGAUUGCAGCCCUAAGCAGGUGGUAAACUCCAUCUAAGGCUAAAUACGACCACGAGACCGAUAGCGAACAAGUACCGCGAGGGAAAGUUGAAAAGAACUUUGAAGAGAGAGUUCAAGAGUACGUGAAACCGUUCGGGGGUAAACCUGAGGAACCCGAAAGAUCGAAAGCCGAGAUACAGCGUCCGGCGCCGCGGGCGAUGCGGCGGCGGCGUGCACUUCUCGGCCGGUAGGACGUCGCGACCCGUUGGGAGUCGCCGACGCACGAAGGGGACGCGCGGGAAGCUCGAGGCGGCGCGACGGGACUCGUUCCCGUCGUCUUUGCGUUGCCCCUCGAACCCGCCGCGCCCUCAGAUAGGCGCUCGGCACGCCCGACGCGGCACUCAAACACAGACCGAUGCGUUCGUUCGGCGGUGCGCACUCGCGGCGCGCCCGACGCCGUCUCGGCCGACGCCCCUCCUAACGGAGGCGGCGCGCCGCGUCGGCAGAUCUCGGGCGUGUGUGCGCGCUCGCGCACACACACCGACGUCCGAUCGUCCGCGACGCUUUUGCUUCGGGCGUUUUCAGGACCCGUCUUGAAACACGGACCAAGGAGUCCAACGUGCGCGCGAGUCAAUGGGAGCAAACUACGAAACCCAAAGGCGAAGCGAAAGCGAAGGACGACCGGGGGCGGGCGUUUUCCGCGUCCGCAUCCCGCGUCGACCGUGGGGAGGAUGGGCCGCCGGCACGAUCGAGCGGCCCCGCACUCCCGGGGCGUCUCCGCCAGGCACCGUCGCGUUCGGCGUUCGCUCGUCGUCGUCGUUCGGUGCCGGAGGCGCACCUCUAGCGCGCGCGCUGGGACCCGAAAGAUGGUGAACUAUGCCUGGUCAGGACGAAGUCAGGGGAAACCCUGAUGGAGGUCCGCAGCGAUUCUGACGUGCAAAUCGAUCGUCAGAACUGGGUAUAGGGGCGAAAGACCAAUCGAACCGUCUAGUAGCUGGUUCCCUCCGAAGUUUCCCUUAGGAUAGCUGGCGCUCGCUCGAGAUAAGAGUCUCAUGCGGUAAAGCGAAUGAUUAGAGCGAAUCGGGGUCGAAACGACCUCAACCUAUUCUCAAACUUUAAAUGUGUGAGAUCUCCGGCUUGCCCGACACACGAAGCCGCGAGAUCGGAUCUAGAGUGCCAAGUGGGCCAUUUUUGGUAAGCAGAACUGGCGCUGUGGGAUGAACCAAACGCGAAGUUAAAGCGCCCAAAUCGACGCUCAUUGGAAACCAGAAAAGGCGUUGGUAACUCAGGACAGCAGGACGGUGACCAUGGAGGUCGGAAUCCGCUAAGGAGUGUGUAACAACUCACCUGCCGAAGUUACCAGCCCUGAAAAUGGAUGGCGCUUAAGCGUCGUGCUUAUACUUCGCCGUUGGCGGCAAGCGCGUCGCGCCCUCGGACGCGGCGCAAAGAGAGGCCCCGACGAGUAGGGGGGUCGCGACGGUGAGCGCAGAAGGACCGGGCGUGAGCCCGUCUGGAGCCGCCGUCGGCGCAGAUCUUGGUGGUAGUAGCAAAUACUUCAGCGAGCACCUGGAGGACUGACGUGGAGAAGGGUUUCGUGUGAACAGCAGUUGCACACGAGUCAGUCGAUCCUAAGCCGCUAGGCGAAAGCCGACGUCGAUGAGGCGCAGGCGAUAUAGAUCGAGACAGUACCUCGCUACACUGCGCGCGCGCGCGGUACGUACGCUCGGAGGGAGGCAGCGCGCGCCGCUCGCGGGGAGGCGAGUCCGGCGGCGGCGGCGGCGGCGGCGACGACGACCGGUCGGUCCUUGGCGAUGGACCGACCGACCUCGUCCGUCCGCCCCGUCGCACGUUCGUCGCUCGCUCCGCGAAGCCGGCGGCCGCUCUCUGUGGCGCGCAGCGUACUAGACAGACCGCGCCGCGCCGCGACGGUGUCAGUGUGUACGACAUAUCAUGUCGCGCCUCACGGGCGAAAGGGAAUGCGGUUCCUAUUCCGCAACCCGGCAACGGAACCGCCACUAUUCGGGCCCUCAUCUGAGAGUUCGUCUGGGUAACCUAACACGACCCGGAGACGCCGUCGGGAGGUCCGGGAAGAGUUUUCUUUUCUGCAUGAGCGUUCGAGAUCCAUGGAAGCCCAUAGCGGGGAGAUAUGGUUCGGAACGCGAAGAGCACCGCAAUUGCCGCGGUGUCCGGAUCGUCCCCUCGGACCUUGAAAAUC